GAAUCAAACCGAGGUAAUCC
rnacentral:snRNA from 1 species